GGGACACGUGGUAUCCUGUCUGAAUAUGGGGGGACCAUCCUCCAAGGCUAAAUACUCCUGACUGACCGAUAGUGAACCAGUACCGUGAGGGAAAGGCGAAAAGAACCCCGGCGAGGGGAGUGAAAAAGAACCUGAAACCGUGUACGUACAAGCAGUGGGAGCACGCUUAGGCGUGUGACUGCGUACCUUUUGUAUAAUGGGUCAGCGACUUAUAUUCUGUAGCAAGGUUAACCGAAUAGGGGAGCCGAAGGGAAACCGAGUCUUAACUGGGCGUUAAGUUGCAGGGUAUAGACCCGAAACCCGGUGAUCUAGCCAUGGGCAGGUUGAAGGUUGGGUAACACUAACUGGAGGACCGAACCGACUAAUGUUGAAAAAUUAGCGGAUGACUUGUGGCUGGGGGUGAAAGGCCAAUCAAACCGGGAGAUAGCUGGUUCUCCCCGAAAGCUAUUUAGGUAGCGCCUCGUGAAUUCAUCUCCGGGGGUAGAGCACUGUUUCGGCAAGGGGGUCAUCCCGACUUACCAACCCGAUGCAAACUGCGAAUACCGGAGAAUGUUAUCACGGGAGACACACGGCGGGUGCUAACGUCCGUCGUGAAGAGGGAAACAACCCAGACCGCCAGCUAAGGUCCCAAAGUCAUGGUUAAGUGGGAAACGAUGUGGGAAGGCCCAGACAGCCAGGAUGUUGGCUUAGAAGCAGCCAUCAUUUAAAGAAAGCGUAAUAGCUCACUGGUCGAGUCGGCCUGCGCGGAAGAUGUAACGGGGCUAAACCAUGCACCGAAGCUGCGGCAGCGACGCUUAUGCGUUGUUGGGUAGGGGAGCGUUCUGUAAGCCUGCGAAGGUGUGCUGUGAGGCAUGCUGGAGGUAUCAGAAGUGCGAAUGCUGACAUAAGUAACGAUAAAGCGGGUGAAAAGCCCGCUCGCCGGAAGACCAAGGGUUCCUGUCCAACGUUAAUCGGGGCAGGGUGAGUCGACCCCUAAGGCGAGGCCGAAAGGCGUAGUCGAUGGGAAACAGGUUAAUAUUCCUGUACUUGGUGUUACUGCGAAGGGGGGACGGAGAAGGCUAUGUUGGCCGGGCGACGGUUGUCCCGGUUUAAGCGUGUAGGCUGGUUUUCCAGGCAAAUCCGGAAAAUCAAGGCUGAGGCGUGAUGACGAGGCACUACGGUGCUGAAGCAACAAAUGCCCUGCUUCCAGGAAAAGCCUCUAAGCAUCAGGUAACAUCAAAUCGUACCCCAAACCGACACAGGUGGUCAGGUAGAGAAUACCAAGGCGCUUGAGAGAACUCGGGUGAAGGAACUAGGCAAAAUGGUGCCGUAACUUCGGGAGAAGGCACGCUGAUAUGUAGGUGAAGUCCCUUGCGGAUGGAGCUGAAAUCAGUCGAAGAUACCAGCUGGCUGCAACUGUUUAUUAAAAACACAGCACUGUGCAAACACGAAAGUGGACGUAUACGGUGUGACGCCUGCCCGGUGC
rnacentral:rRNA from 1 species